rnacentral:rRNA from 1 species
UGUGUUCUUGAAACUUAAAGAAUUUGGCGGUAUCCUACUCCGUUCAGAGGAAUCUGUCUCGUUAUCGAUAGUCCGCGUUGGACCUUGCUUAGGGUUAAUUUUGGUUUGUAUACCGCCGUUUAUUGAUUAUCUUUUUAGAGUAUCUUGAAUUUUCUGGUUUCUUUAAUUUGAUUUAUUGCAGGUCAAGGUGCAGCUUUUUCUAAGUGUAAUGAUGGAUUACAGUGGUAUGUGUUGUUUGGAUUGUUUGUUUAAAUAUGGGCAUGAAAUUGGAUUUGGUUGUAAUGUUUUGUAGAUUGUUUUCAUGAUAGUUGGUUCUAGGAUAUGUACACAUCGCCCGUCGCUCUCAUUUAAGUUUUUGAUGAGAUAAGUCGUAAACAUAGUAA